GGGAGGCAGAAUCUUUACAGAUGAAUUCUGAAGAAAGCUUCCAACUUUCGGCACAGAGAAGAAACUGAAUUCUUCAGACACAGGUAACCGGGAUCAACAUCAUCCAGCGCCUCGUUGAUCCAGCAGAGAACUCGAAGUCAGUGAUGAGCCUCCUUGCAUUAUGGGACACAUUUAUAUGUUUUUCAGUCUUUUCUUUACUUAUAGGAUAUUGUGGGGUCUGUCCCAACAUACAUCUGAGUAUGAUAGAGGAUUCAUAGAUAGAUAGACAAUCAAACAGUUUAAGUUUUUGGGUCUCUCUUUAAUUGUAUUCAGAUAUUGUAUGUGAGACUUAAGUGUCAUUUUGGCCAUAUAUCUAUUUGAAGUUGUUUUUAUGA